rnacentral:rRNA from 1 species
GAUGAACGCUGGCGGCGUGCCUAAUACAUGCAAGUCGAGCGAACAGAUAAGGAGCUGGCUCCUUUGACGUUAUCGGCGGACGGGUGAGUAACACGUGGGUAACCUACCUAUAAGACUGGAAUAACUCCGGGAAACCGGGUCUAAUGCCCGAUAACAUUUAGAACCGCAUGGUUCUAAAGUGAAAGAUGGUUUUGCUAUCACUUAUAGACGGACCCGCGCCGUAUUAGCUAGUUGGUAAGGUAACGGCUUACCAAGGCAACGAUACGUAGCCGACCUGAGAGGGUGAUCGGCCACACUGGAACUGAGACACGGUCCAGACUCCUACGGGAGGCAGCAGUAGGGAAUCUUCCGCGAUGGGCGAAAGCCUGACGGAGCAACGCCGCGUGAGUGAUGAAGGUCUUCUGAUCGUAAAACUCUGUUAUUAGGGAAGAACUAAUGUGUAAGUACCUGUGCACGUCUUGACGGUACCUAAUCAGAAAGCCACGGCUAACUACGUG